GGUAACACCGGCAGCCCGAGUGGUGAUCACUAUUAUUGGGUCUAAAGGGUCCGUAGCCGGUUUAAUCAGUCUUCUGGGAAAUCUAAUCGCUUAACUAUUAGGCUUCCAGGGGAUACUGUUAGACUUGGGACCGGGAGAGGUAAGAGGUACUGCAGGGGUAGGAGUGAAAUCUUGUAAUCCCUGUGAGACCACCAGUGGCGAAGGCGUCUUACCAGAACGGGUCCGACGGUGAGGGACGAAAGCUGGGGGCACGAACCGGAUUAGAUACCCGGGUAGUCCCAGCUGUAAACGAUGCUCGUUAGGUGUCAGGAACGGUGCGACUGUUUCUGGUGCCGAAGGGAAGCCGUGAAACGAGCCACCUGGGAAGUACGGCCGCAAGGCUGAAACUUAAAGGAAUUGGCGGGGGAGCACUACAACGGGUGGAGCCUGCGGUUUAAUUGGACUCAACGCCGGAAAACUCACCGGGGGCGACAGCAAUAUGUAGGUCAGGUUAAAGGUCUUACCUGAAUCGCUGAGAGGAGGUGCAUGGCCGUCGUCAGUUCGUACUGUGAAGCAUCCUGUUAAGUCAGGCAACGAGCAAGACCCGUGCCCACUGUUACCAGCAUAUCCUUUAUGGAUGAUGGGGACUCUGUGGGGACCGCUGCUGCUAAAGCAGAGGAAGGUGCGGGCUACGGUAGGUCAGUAUGCCCCGAAUCUCCCGGGCUACACGCGGGCUACAAUGGUUGGGACAAUGGGUAUCUACUCCGAAAGGAGUUGGCAAUCUCUUAAACCCAAUCGUAGUUCGAAUUGAGGGCUGUAACUCGCCCUCAUGAAGCUGGAAUCCGUAGUAAUCGCGUUUCAACAU
rnacentral:rRNA from 1 species